rnacentral:rRNA from 1 species
CCUACGGGUGGCAGCAGUGGGGAAUAUUGCACAAUGGGGGAAACCCUGAUGCAGCGACGCCGCGUGAGUGAAGAAGUAUUUCGGUACGUAAAGCUCUAUCAGCAGGGAAGAAAAAAAGUCCUUUGGACUUUGGACGGUACCUGACCAAGAAGCCCCGGCUAACUACGUGCCAGCAGCCGCGGUAAUACGUAGGGGGCAAGCGUUAUCCGGAUUUACUGGGUGGAAAGGGAGCGUAGACGGCAGUGCAAGUCUGGAGUGAAAGGCCGGGGCCCAACCCCGGAACUGCUUUGGAAACUGGGCAGCUGGAGUGCAUGAGAGGUAGGCGGAAUUCCUGGUGUAGCGGUGAAAUGCGUAGAUAUUAGGAGGAACACCAGUGGCGAAGGCGGCUUACUGGACUGUAACUGACGUUGAGGCACGAAAGCGUGGGGAGCAAACAGGAUUAGAUACCCUAGUAGUC